ACGUUGAAACGCCGUUCCCGUACGAUCAACGAAGUUAGGCAUAUUCGAGCCAGAUCAGUACUUUGAUGGUUGACCUCUUGGGAAUACCAGAAAC